UACGUAGGGUGCAAGCGUUAAUCGGAAUUACUGGGCGUAAAGCGUGCGCAGGCGGUUUUGUAAGUCAGAUGUGAAAUCCCCGGGCUUAACCUGGGAACUGCGUUUGAAACUACAAGGCUAGAGUGUGACAGAGGGGGGUGGAAUUCCACGUGUAGCAGUGAAAUACGUAGAGAUGUGGAGGAACACCGAUGGCGAAGGCAGCCCCCUGGGUUAACACUGACGCUCAGGCACGAAAGCGUGGGGAGCAAACAGG
rnacentral:rRNA from 1 species